GAGCUAGCCUGAGCAAUUUUGAGUUUUGUUCAGUGGAGGGACUGCUGUAUGUCAGCCAUGCUAAAGGGCAAGUGAUGGAGAUAAGCAUGAGAUCACCGUGGCACAGCUGCAUGUGUAGUCACUCUUGAAGCAAUUGCACACCUAAUUGGCUGACAAUCUUGGCAUUUUUAAAGCAAACACAAGCCUUUUAAAGACAGGGGACGUAUUUAUGUAUGAAUAGUCAAAU
rnacentral:lncRNA from 1 species